AGAUUGAACGCUGGCGGCGUGCCUAACACAUGCAAGUCGAGCGGUAACAGGUGUAGCAAUACAUGCUGACGAGCGGCGAACGGGUGAGUAAUGCUUCGGAAUCUACCUUAUGGUGGGGAAUAACUAGCCGAAAGGUUAGCUAAUACCGCAUACGUCCUACGGGAGAAAGCAGGGGAUCGCAAGACCUUGCGCCAAAAGAUGAGCCGAAGUCGGAUUAGCUAGUGGUAGGUAACGCCUACAAGGCGACGAUCCGUAGCUGGUCUGAGAGGACGACCAGCCACACUGGAACUGAGACACGGUCCAGACUCCGUACGGGAGGCAGCAGGUAGGGGAAUAGUUAGGACAAGUCGGGGGAAACCCUGGACUCCAGGCGACGCCGCGUGUGUAGAAGACGGCCGUGGACGGGUUAGUAAACGUCGUUACGUUUAGGUAGGGACUAGGUAAAGUGGUA
rnacentral:rRNA from 1 species